rnacentral:rRNA from 1 species
UACGGGGGGGGGCAAGCGUUGUUCGGAAUUACUGGGCGUAAAGGGCUCGUAGGCGGCCCUGUAAGUCAGUGCUGAAAUAUCCCAGCUUAACUGGGAGGGUGGCAUUGAUACUGCGGGGCUAGAGUACAGAUGAGGUAGGCGGAAUUGACGGUGUAGCGGUGAAAUGCUUAGAUAUCGUCAAGAACACCUAUAGCGAAGGCAGCUUACUAGGCUGUAACUGACGCUGAGGCACGAAAGUGUGGGGAUCAAACAGG